rnacentral:rRNA from 1 species
AUGGAUCGAUGUGUCUACAUACAUAGAUUCUGUUUAUGGAUUAACGAAAAUGUACAAGAGCUCUAUUUGCCUCUGCCAUUCUAUGAGUCACUUAAUUGUUCUCUAAUAGCACCUGCUCCUGACACAAUUUCCCGAUCUUAA